GAGUAACUGUUGACAUCGUGACGGUAUCCAACCAGAAAGCCACGGCUAACUACGUGCCAGCAGCCGCGGUAAUACGUAGGUGGCAAGCGUUGUCCGGAUUUAUUGGGCGUAAAGCGAGCGCAGGCGGUUUUUUAGGUCUGAUGUGAAAGCCUUCGGCUUAACCGGAGAAGUGCAUCGGAAACCGGGAGACUUGAGUGCGGAAGAGGACAGUGGAACUCCAUGUGUAGCGGUGAAAUGCGUAGAUAUAUGGAAGAACACCAGUGGCGAAGGCGGCUGCCUGGUCUGCAACUGACGCUGAGGCUCGAAAGCAUGGGUAGCGAACAGGAUUAGAUACCCUGGUAGUCCAUGCCGUAAACGAUGAGUGCUAAGUGUUGGAGGGUUUCCGCCCUUCAGUGCUGCAGCUAACGCAUUAAGCACUCCGCCUGGGGAGUACGACCGCAAGGUUGAAACUCAAAGGAAUUGACGGGGGCCCGCACAAGCGGUGGAGCAUGUGGUUUAAUUCGAUGCUACGCGAAGAACCUUACCAGGUCUUGACAUCUUCUGCUAACCUAAGAGAUUAGGCGUUCCCUUCGGGGACGGAAUGACAGGUGGUGCAUGGUUGUCGUCAGCUCGUGUCGUGAGAUGUUGGGUUAAGUCCCGCAACGAGCGCAACCCUUAUUGUCAGUUGCCAGCAUUUAGUUGGGCACUCUGGCGAGACUGCCGGUGACAAACCGGAGGAAGGUGGGGAUGACGUCAAAUCAUCAUGCCCCUUAUGACCUGGGCUACACACGUGCUACAAUGGACGGUACAACGAGUCGCGAAACCGCGAGGUCAAGCUAAUCUCUGAAAGCCGUUCUCAGUUCGGAUUGCAGGCUGCAACUCGCCUGCAUGAAGUUGGGAUCGCUAGUAAUCGUGGAUCAGCAUGCCACGGUGAAUGCGUUCCCGGGCCUUGUACACACCGCCCGUCACACCAUGAGAGUUUGUAACACCCAAAGCCGGUGAGGUAACCUUCGGGAACCAGCCGUCUAAGGUGGGACAGAUGAUCAGGGUGAAGUCGUAACAAGGUAGCCGUAGGAGAACCUGCGGCUGGAUCACCUCCUUUCUAA
rnacentral:rRNA from 1 species